GACGAACGCUGGCGGCGUGCUUAACACAUGCAAGUCGAACGCUGAAGCUCAGCUUUUGUUGGGUGGAUGAGUGGCGAACGGGUGAGUAACACGUGAGUAACCUGCCUCCUUCUUUGGGAUAACGCCCGGAAACGGGUGCUAAUACUGGAUAUUCACUGGUCUUCGCAUGGGGGUUGGUGGAAAGGGUUUUUCUGGUGGGGGAUGGGCUCGCGGCCUAUCAGCUUGUUGGUGGGGUGAUGGCCUACCAAGGCUUUGACGGGUAGCCGGCCUGAGAGGGUGACCGGUGACAUUGGGACUGAGAUACGGCCCAGACUACUACGGGAGGCAGAAGUGGGGAAUAUUGCACAAUGGGCGCAAGCCUGAUGCAGCGACGCCGAGUGAGGGAUGGAGGCCUUAGGGUUGUGAACCUCUUUCGCUAAUGGUCAAGCCGCAACAAUGGUUGUGGUGAGGGUAGUGGGUAAAGAAGCGCCGGCUAACUACGUG
rnacentral:rRNA from 1 species